GAUGAACGCUAGCGAUAGGCCUAACACAUGCAAGUCGAGGGGCAUCACAUGAAGUAGCAAUACGGAUGGUGGCGACCGGCGCACGGGUGAGUAACACGUAUGCAACCUGCCUUCAACAAGGGGAUAACCCGUUGAAAGACGGACUAAUACCCUAUAACACAGGGGUCCCGCAUGGGGAAUAUUUGUUAAAGGACAACCGGUUGAAGAUGGGCAUGCGUUCCAUUAGAUAGUUGGAGAGGUAACGGCUCCCCAAGUCAACGAUCAUUAGGGGUUCUGAGAGGAAGGUCCCCCACACUGGUACUGAGACACGGACCAGACUCCUACGGGAGGCAGGCAGUGAGGAAUAUUGGUCAAUGGGCGAGAGCCUGAACCAGCCAAGUCGCGUGCAGGAAGAAUGUCCUAUGGAUUGUAAACUGCUUUUGCAGGGGAAUAAAGUGAGCCACGUGUGGUUUUUUGUAUGUACUCUGCGAAUAAG
rnacentral:rRNA from 1 species